GGUCAAAACGGAGAACGGAUCUCCGAUGCUACCGCUCUGCUUGCCCAUAAAUUGGAUGGUCCUAACUGUUGGCCGUCUCGGUCGACCUGGAGCAAAAGCGGCGGGUGUGCGCUGCUUGGAUUGCAGCCAUUAAGAGAGAGAAACAAGGGUAGAAGGACGUGGGUCCAUUCGCGGGUGAGAAUUGAGCUCGUCCGCAACCUUCACGCAGUGCCAGACAAUGGUGCAUCCUUGCACUACGCGAGGACUCGCCCACGGGGUCACUGUGUCGGAGACCGGGUGCCUCGUUGUCGACGUCAAGAGAUCCGGCGCGCCACCAGUCUCCGUGGACAACUACACUGGUGCCUCGAAAACGCCAUGCGGUUCGUCGGGAGGAUACGAACGCGUGUGUGGCGCGCGGGCAGCCCUAUACCUGGGCGAUGGGAGGAACAAGACGAUGUCACGUCCGUUAGGAUGGAGAUCGACGGCUAGGCUUAGGCGAUGAUUCCUGGCCAUAGAUCUGGGAGUCAACGGUGGAGAUUAGAACGGGGCAUACCUCUUCGGUGUUUAGAUCCCGACCAUUGAUCUGGCUGCUGGCGACCCAGAUUAAAUGGUGGCUAACGCUUCGGCUAGAGUGAUCUGGAUCGUUAGAUAUGGAUCGGGCGGACGCGGUUGCAUACCGAUUCGCUGUAUAAUCUCGGCCCUUGAUCCUUCAUCGGGCGACCCCAGUUGGCUCAUUACCCUUCGGCUGACAUCUUUGCUCCAAAGACCCCCCGAGUUUUUCUCUAAACAACCCGCAGUGCUAGGCAGUUCUAAGAACCUUGCAAUUAGGCCCUGUUUUUAACACUUUGGCCCUUGCGUUCCUAGAAAAUUGUACCCGCCAUCCAGAGACAUUGGUAAUUCUUGGAAUAAAUCAAGAAAUUGAUUUUUAACUAUAAGAUAAACCCGAAAACCUUAGAAAAAAUCAUAUCUUCUGCGUCUUAACUCCGAUUUAAUCCGUUCCAGUUACGUUUGCUUCAUAAAAAUAUUAUCUACGCAGUAACAACAUUAAUUAUAUCAUAUUGCAUGAUUUUAUAGUUAGAAAUUUAUUCAUCCUAUGUCUACUAGAUUAACUCUGCUAAAUCAAAACUAACCCAACCAUAAUCAUAAUGUGGUUAAAACAUGAUCUCUAGUCAAGUAUAAUCUAGGUUAAGGUUGAAUUGAUUAUUUAGAGUAUAUUUUCUCAUUGGAUGUACAAUAAUCAAUUCAUAAUUUAAUAUUCCAACCACGUAGAUCUUUGUAACACCCCUGGUGUUACGUUAACUAAAACUCUGACAUGUCAUCAUAAGCAUUUGUAUUAUCUUGUUUGAUAUACCUAGAAUGCAUUCACUAGGUCAAAAUUUUUUAGUGAAUAUGGUGUUGCCCUAUUAGAGUAUAGGGCUCAGAUUAAGAACUUUGCUUAAGACAUGGGAAGAGAAGUCAUCUCUUGAGCAAGUAAUAAGUUGGCUUGGAAUUUGAAGUAUUAAAGGUAAUACUUUGCUUUCAAAGGUGGGUUGAGUGGAAGAAUUAAUUGAGGAACUGGAUUAACAUUAAAAACCUUAAGUGAGAUUUCAAAACCUUGCUUGGAAUUGUGGAUAAACAAAACAACUCCUAAACCAAGGACACUUUGGACAUGAGCUUCAUAUACUAGAGUUGAAUUUGAGAUUAAGGGGAGUCACUUAGCUUUUAGGAGUAUGGAUUGAGUUGAUAAAUCACUAGAUGAGAAGGAGUCACAUUUGAAACCCUCAACUAGCCCAAAAGUGGAGUUUUAAAUCUAGAGAGAAUUUGCUAGUUGUCCAUAUAUCAAAGUUGUAGAUUUUGGUAAGUUGAACAACUUUUAUGUAUGGAGAAUUCCAAGUUUUAGAGGAAAAGUUGGAGUAAAAAGUUUAAUUCAGUUUUGAAUCAGAUUUGAAGUUUGCUGAAAAUAAUAUCAACUAGCUGUUUUUGGGUCCUCAUAACUUUGGAUCUAUAAACUGUUUGAAGAUGAUCAUUAUAACAAAGUUAUAGAGAUACAUGAGGAGUAUAAGUUUUGUUAAUACACUUAGCCCUAAAGCUAUUUGGAACCUAGAGAAAAGCUGGCCUAAAGUAGAGUUGUCUGAAAGUGGGGAUUUCAGACAGUGAAAUUCAGUCUGAAUUUCAGCAAUUGGAGCAAACUUUGGGCUAUUGUAGUUUGGGAUCCAAGAGGCUUUGGUUAAUGGUCACUAUAUAAAACUUGUAGAGGAACUAUAGGAGUAUAAACUUUACUGAGAAACUUGCCCCUAGAAACAAUUGGAACCCAAGAAAAAGAGUGGUUCAAAGUGGUGCUGCUGUGUUUCUGAAUAUUCAUAUUGGAAACAGUAACUGAAUUUCAGUGUUUUGAUAGCAGUUUUGAAGCCUAUUUGUGGCUAUUCUAUAAGGUUUUGUGCUGUGGUGUUUGUAGAAUAAGUGAAGACCAUAUAAUGUGGAACAACUUUCUUAUAGGGUGGUGGACCUGAUCCCAUACAAAAAGUGCAGAAAUAGUUCCUCAAAGAUUGGAUUGUCAGGUUGGUUAAUAACUGAAUUUUAAUUCAGUUCUGAACCCUGAAUGGCAGCAAGUUGUCCAGUUUGGAGCUCUAUGAUAAUUAAUCUAUGGAGAUUUUGGUUACGAGUUCUGUAAAAAAGUCAAAGUCCAUAUGAAGGGGAACAACUUUUAUGCAAAGGGUUGACUUGUUACUGUGUGUAAUCUAGAGAAAAAGGGGUGACAAAACUCUCUGCCAGACCCAGUAUUGUGCUGUUUAAUAAAUCCAAAACUGAAUUUUGAGUGUUUUGCUUAACUUUGGAUUGCAAUAACUCUUGCUCUAAAUAUUUUCAACCUGUGAUUUCUAUACCAAGUUGGUAGAACUAUGUAUAGAGAACAACUUUUGUGAAGGGAGCAUGGUCUGUUGCUAUGAAAAAUUGAAAGAUCAGAGGGUUUGAACUGGGAGGAAUUAAAUGGGGCAGCAGGUUGAUGAAGUGAUUCAGUGUGUGGAGGUGUAACUGAAGAAGAAUCUUUUUCUCUGCUGUGCUCCACUGACAUAUUAAGCUGUCUUAUGGGGGAAGUGCAUGACUGAUACUUUGAGGCUACUCUCCACCAAAAAUAUCUAAUUUGGACUAUUUUGGAGCAGUAAAUAGUGGAGAAUUGAUCGGUUGGUCUGCUGUCUGCAGUAGGGGACAAAAGAGAUACAUGUAUGUGUAUAGUUGAGAUAAGUGUGGAGGGUAUAACUGAGGUCUAGAACCCACCCUCAGCUGGAAAGAAUAUCCUGUUCUUGGACAUAUUGAAGCAUAUCCCCAACUGAUAUUUGUGUUGAGAAAAUGGACCAGGUUCAGUGUCCUAACCAAGGUUGUGUACUGGUGGGGUAUGAGAGCAUGUUAGCCACGUGUUGAAGUCCAUAUGUUGCUGGCGCUCUGAGACACACUGCUUCACUGCAUGUUGGCCAUGUCUAGGGACGUUUUCUAUAUAUAUGGUGGCUCUAAAAUCUGGUUCAGUGAAGGAUUCACCUGGCCUUCGGAUUCUAGCCCAAGACCAGUGUAAAAGUGUGGAAGUCCUUGUGCUCCAGUUGAUGCUAGUCUCUUUCCAGCCAUUAGGUUUGAUCUGCACAAGUGUUGGCACACCAUCGGCCUGCCAGUAGUGACCACGCCGGUCAGUUUGGCCAUCUCGUCGUGGCCAAGACAACCCAGCAAGGUACACGAUCGUACUAUGUUUGUUCUGUGAUCAAUCCAUGUGCUUUUAGGCUCUAGUUUCUGUAGCAAACUUGGAGAUAAAUAUUGGGGAAGUAACCCUUGGUAAGGAUCAUGCCCUUGAAUAUGCUUAGAACAGGGAGAAAAUGGUGUUCCAAAACAUGCUGUUAGACUUUAAUUUCAGACUUGAUUCAGUUAUCUAAAACUGAUUUUCAGUGAGUUUUGCUCAACUUCGGAGCUUUCUUGUGGCUAAUCUAUGGGGUUAUGGACUAUGGUUUCUAUAGUAAAAUGGAAGACCAUACAAUAGUGAACAAGUUUUCUUAAAUAAGGUUGACUUUGUACUGCAUGAAAAGUGGAGUAAUAGUUGCUUAAAACUGGGACUGUCAGUUACAGAAACUGAAUUUCAAUCAGUGCCUGAAAACUGAAGUUGCACUGUUUGGUGUCAGUUUGGGAACACUUUUGUGACCAUUCCACCAGGUGUUAGGCUAAGAACUAUGUAACAAGGUUGGAGACCAAGUAAAGAAGUACAAGUUUUGUUAUGUGGGUCUGACUUGGUGCUUAACAAACUUUAGAGUAAAAUGCACCUAAACUUCCUCUGUCAGACUGUCUGGGGGACUGUUUCACUUCAGCUGAAACUGAACCUCUUAGUGUUUUUGCUCUACUUUUGUGUCCCAUAAUUUUUGUUCUAUGUGGUUUCAGCCUAGGGGUAUUGUACCAAAGUGGAAGAGCAAUGAUUUUAGAGUACUUUUUAUUAGGGAAGAAGGGGCCGUUGUUGAGGAAGUUUGUGAGAUAAAGUAGACCAAACUGGGAGCUGUGCAAUGGGACACUGAUGUCAGGGAAGUUGAUUCAGUGUUUGGGAUAGGAAAUUGAGGAAGAUUUUUCUCCCUUUCCUGUGCUCCACUGGUGUGCUCGAGUUGGGAUACGGGUGGGGUGCAAAACCAAGGAUCUAGUGACUUCAGCUCUGCUUCAAAAUAUCUAGUUUUGGAUUGUUUGGGAGAUGUGGACAAAAGAGAUCAUAUCUGUUUUGUCUACUAUCUGCAGAUAUCUACUACCUGCAGAUUUGGACCAAGUGAUAUUUGUGUGUUGGGGGCAUUAAAGUUUCUUUGCUGGUUAUUUGAGGUAAUAAAAAGGGGAGCUGAACUUGAGGUUUCAGUCGAGUA